UACGAAGGAUGCAAGCGUUAUCAGGAUUUAUUGGGUUUAAAGGGAGCGUAGGCGGUCUUAUAAGUCAGCGGUGAAAUCUCGUUGCUUAACAACGAACGUGCCAUUGAUACUGUAGGACUUGAGUACAGUUGCCGUUGGCGGAAUGUGUCAUGUAGCGGUGAAAUGCAUAGAUAUGACACAGAACACCGAUUGCGAAGGCAGCUGACGAAACUGUAACUGACGCUGAGGCUCGAAAGCGUGGGGAUCAAACAGG
rnacentral:rRNA from 1 species